GGGUGUCACCUAAGAAAAAAAAGCACGCUCAAUCUUGUCCGAUCUCGGAAGCUAAGCAGUGUCGGGCCUGGUUAGUACUUGGAUGUGAGACCGCCUGGGAAUAUCAAGUGCUGCAAGCA
rnacentral:rRNA from 10 species